ACGGAAGGCAGCAGUAGGGAAUAUUGCACAAUGGGGGAAACCCUGAUGCAGCGACGCCGCGUGAGUGAUGAAGUAUUUCGGUACGUAAAGCUCUAUCAGCAGGGAAGAUAAUGACGGUACCUGACUAAGAAGCCCCGGCUAACUACGUGCCAGCAGCCGCGGUAAUACGUAGGGGGCAAGCGUUAUCCGGAUUUACUGGGUGUAAAGGGAGUGUAGGUGGCCUGGCAAGCCAGAUGUGAAAGCCCGCGGCUCAACCGCGGGACUGCAUUUGGAACUGUUAGGCUUGAGUGCAGGAGAGGAAAGUGGAAUUCCUAGUGUAGCGGUGAAAUGCGUAGAUAUUAGGAGGAACACCAGUGGCGAAGGCGGAUUGCUGGACGACAACUGACGGUGAGGCGCGAAAGCGUGGGGAGCAAACAGGAUUAGAUACCCUGGUA
rnacentral:rRNA from 1 species